UAUUAUUAGUUUUAUUUUUCACAGCCACGGACAAAUUAAUAAUGAAGGACCAAUUCUGAUCUUCUGAUUGUUCUUAUUUAAAGUUAUUUUCUCUAUCCAUUUCAUCAUCUGAAUCAUUUUCUCAGUAUUUGUUAUCUCCUUCUAAGAUUUCAAUCGCCGAUUGUUUGCCAUGAACAAAUUUAGCAGGCCACGUGUAGAUCGGCACUUUGGUUUCCAUAGGUUUCAGUUUGUUUAUAACAGGAAACCAGUACCGGAAAUUAGCAGCAGGUUCAUCUGAAGACCGAUGUAAACACAUAUUGGAAUUAGUUGCGGUACAACUAAUUACCGAUAAAAAAGGCACUGCAACGGCCGUUUUUACAUCGGUCAUCGGGACCGACACUAGCUUUCAAUAUACUGGUCCGAGCCUCAUUUUGACCGAUAGGACCGACAGGACCG
rnacentral:lncRNA from 1 species